UACAGAGGGUGCGAGCGUUAAUCGGAAUUACUGGGCGUAAAGCGCGCGUAGGCGGCUUUGCAAGUCGGGUGUGAAAUCCCCAGGCUUAACCUGGGAACUGCAUUCGAGACUGCAUUGCUAGAGUAUGGGAGAGGGAAGUGGAAUUUCCGGUGUAGCGGUGAAAUGCGUAGAUAUCGGAAGGAACAUCAGUGGCGAAAGCGACUUCCUGGACCAAUACUGACGCCCAUGUGCGAAAGCGUGGGUAGCAAACAGG
rnacentral:rRNA from 1 species